AAAAAACCAACGAAAAAAAGUCGACGACUUGCACGCACGGGCGAGCGAGCGAGGCCUCCCCCUCGAUCCCCAACCAGGUCACAGAUCCCUUCGCCCCUGCCCUCGCACUCGCAUCAAGCCGCCGCCUCCAGAGCGUCCUCGAUCCUUGCGCUACCUCCCUUCUCCGCCGGCGAUCUCUUUGCAAACACUGAUCCGCUUCAUGGCCGCCACCGCUCCUUCUCGUCUAUACAGCGACUGUCGGUCUCCACCACCAACGCCAUAUCAGUUCCUCAUCGUUCUGGAGCGGCGACACGCAGGUGAUGGCGACCUAUGUAGGCACCCAUAAUUCGUGGAAGAGAACCCACAGCAACUGCAGAAGAAAAGAAGUUGGGAUCUGAGAGAUCUGGAGAGCUUAGUGCAAAAGUAAAUCAGGCAAGCCCUUUUCCUCUGAAGAAGUUAUAUUGAGACGAACGAAUGCCCUGCUGUCCAAUCACUUGCCACCAAAGAUUGUUGAAGUAGUGUGCCGCAAGCUGACUCCCUUACAGAUGACACUGUACAACCACUUCACACACUCCAAAAAUGUUAAGCGCUUGAUAUCUGAAGAAGCAAAGAGUACUAAAGUUUUGGCAUAUAUUACUGCCUUUAAGAAAUUAUGCAACCAUCCGAAGAACUUAUUAUGCCCACGACCACUGCCAUGGACUUUGUGGCCGGCCUGCUUAUCCUUGAUGUGGCUACAAUGCGCGAACCAGUGUUCGACUUUGAACGCCGACAUGGACGGCGGCCUCAAGUGCUACACCAUCUUCUUGGAUAUGUGGAGAGGCUUUUUGCACUGCAGUUCAAGACAAACUGUUGAGGGUCUGAUAAUGGACUUAACACAACUGCUGGAGAGAGAUUAAAAUAUUGAAUAUGGUAGCAGAGGAGGAAGCUGAAGUUGGUAGAUUAAUAGAGCGAGAGUUCCAGACCCAGCAAGCGAUGCAGAGAAACAAGACAAAUAACUAUGAAGUAGUAGAUCAUAGAAAGGACUGGUGUCAAUUGAUCAGUCAUAGUCAAAGAAUGAUAUGGAAAUUAAACUAAGCACGACAUGUCGGAAUAAUAGCAGAACCAGAGCAAGAGAAAAAAGUUGAUUAGCAGGUCGACAGUGAUGCCUGCUAAGAGAGAAUCCACACGUCCAUCCUUUGCCACUGCUGAAGCCCCACAUCCUCGAUCUUGACACGCUUGCCUGCCAUCCUGGCCAACAUCCUCGCUAUGGCCCCCAAGCCACGCAACCACCUCGCCAGCUGUUGCUAGAGCCGAGCGCGUUGGCAGACUCCGCACCCAAGGUUUUUAGUUGAUGAAGGACGAAGUCCGCACCAAGAAGACCAUUCUGAUGGAUUCAAGAGAAUCAGAAGUGAAGAAUCAAGUUACAAUAAAUAUGUCGAUUACAAAUAUGCCUACAGAUACACAAGUGGUUUUUAGAUAUCUUUGCUUGAUUUGGAGCUGCUCAAAGAAAAAGGAUGGCCACAUAUAUAUGGUAGUUACUUCCAUGUCACAAAGGUGCUCUUCAGUAGGUUUAUGGAUUCCUUCUAGAGUUUGAGAAAUUUUAAUGAGAAUUUGUUUGACAGAAACGCGAGGAGGGGCCAUUAGGACAAAUUUUUACGUAUAAGAGAUCUUGGGCAGACUGGAACCUAUGGACCAAAACUGGGGCAAGAGUUCAGUAGCUUUGCUAUUGUUGUUCUGGAACUCUUUAUGUCGUGAAAUAGCUAGGGAAAUUGCAUUGGUGCACUUUGUAUAAUUUGGGGUCCUCAGAUCGAGACAAUAUUGUAAGAAAACGCGCCUUAAGGUUUGCAUCGUUUGUAUUAAGAUGAACUGCACACCUGAACGCAUCACUAAUGGAAAGAUUCAGCAUCUUGGUCGGCUGCUUGUGGUGGGGCUUGUGGCUGGUGGUUGCGGCAGUGGCAGAGCAGUGUCCGAGAGCGCGGCGCAAGCAGUGGCCCCUGCUAUGUGGGCUGAUGGGAGCACACCAUCCAAGCAGCACUUCCAAGUAUGACAAUGUCCGCUCUACACCAAGUUUAGCUCUCCAUAUGGUGCCCAUUUUUUUACGGGUAAGGCAAGAGCUCUUCCAAUUCAUUAAAGUUGAGGGGAAACUGUAAAGAAGGCAUAAAAAGAAGAAGGAAAAGCGCCACAAAAUAAAUGGAGGUCUAAAUACUGGAUGAGAUUUUCAUUGCUGGCAUUCUUCAUGAACCUGUCAAGGAGAACAUUUCAAUACUAAUUGUUGCAAAGGUGUUCUCACCACCGGCUAGCAAGAAGAGAGUAUGAUUUUUCAGUGCUCACUGUUGUAAGCUUGAUUCACAAGGAGCUUCUCAAUGUUGUACAUGUAGUUUGUGAGUAACAGAAAUAAAACCUAUUUCUUCAUUCUUGUCUUGUACCUCCGUUUCAACUCCCCCAAACCAGUAGAGUUCAGUUACGUGUUUCAAUAUUAGGAAGUCAUCAUCUUCUAAAACAAAUUUUGUUACCUACUCAAACAUAUUUUAUUCCUGUGUUUCUAAGAAAUUUUGUAUAAAAACAUGUGUACAAUAGAACCUGUACAACCUGCAUUGGAGCAUGCUCAUUUGCUCUGUCCAUUUCUUCUAAAGAGUCCAGAUUCCUACACAUUCAUAAAUACGAUUUAGUGUGCUCUAAUACAUUACCGGAAUCAGAUGAUAUAUUUUCUGUGCGAAUUCGUUGACACAGUUCCUUACAAAAGUUGUAUCUUCGAAAAGGACAAACAACUCUAUGUAAUCCUAUCAUCCAUUCUCAUUUUGAGCCAAGUAUACCCAUUAUCUUUUUCCUUCUAGCAAGGUACCAUAGACAUGUUAUGAAAUUCUCCUUUGCCUUCCAGGUGAACCAAAUAGGCAUCUUUUUAACAAAUGGAGGGAAUUCGUUUGUCAAUAAAAAUAAAUUUUUCACAGGAGAUGUUGUCUUAUUUCUUCAAGUAUAAGCAAAUGAACAUUGUGAUGAAGCUAACAACUUUCUAUCCUUAUUCCUCUUAUUCAUUGUGUGUUAUCCCGAUUUAUACAUGUAACAAUGAUGAAUGAUGAUGAACUUAGACUUAGUGUAAGCAGAGCCAAUCUGUUUCGUUGAACAAACCAGCUCUCUAUCCUUAUUUCUCCUAAAAGCUUUCAGACGAUACUCACACCAUAUGAUUCCUUGAAACAUAGUAGUAUUUUUCACAUCUAUUACAAUCCAAGGUUUUUUUAGUUAAUAUUAUUCUUUAUAUUUGUAAGUAGUAUAAAGUUGCCCCAAAACUGGUAAUAUGAUUUUGGAUGAUAUAUUAUGAUGCUGACAAGGAGGUUAUUGGUGCUGAAUAAAAUAGCAGUAUGAAAUAACCUUGCAAAUAUUUGUUGGCUUUUAGUUUGAGCCUUUCAACUCAACUGAAAUUUUUAUU